rnacentral:ribozyme from 1 species
CCGGUCGUGUAUCUAUUUACAGAUACAAUGAUGGGCAGAGAUCAUGGCUGGAAGCCAUUCGUUUGCCUGGCCAUGCAACUAGUAAUGGAGUGCCCCGUGGUGUCUUGGAUGUUGCAUGGGCA